UCUAAACGCUCUUUCUUUCUCUCUCUCUCUCUCCAUGUCUCCGUUCAUCUCAUUCGUCAAUUAAUAACACAAAGCAACAAACAAACAAACCACACACUCUCUCUCUAACCCCAACAAACAAACCCCUUCUCUCUCUACCACCUCUACUUUCUCUCUCUAGGGUUUCAUCACGAACUCUCACUCUCGCUUUUGCUCUACUUGUCAUGAUUGUAAGGUUCCAAUCCUCGUGCGAAUUGCAUCACAGUCUGUGAUUGACCGAGUUUUGAUUCUUCCCCUUCCACGGGCUAAAGGAUUGUUGUAAUCACUGACACAAACCAAAUGUUGUUGUAGGGUGUUGAGGUUUAUUUCAUGGCAGGCUAAUGUUGUUGCUUGAUGCUUGAUGAUAGUUGCUAUGAACUUAAAUGCCCCGCCGGUUCCGGAGCAAGAUGAAGAUUUUGAGAAGAUACAUGUUGAAGAGUUUCAUGAACCUAAAGAAUGCAUAGAAACUGGAGCUGAUAUAGCACGCCGAUUACCCUUCAUAUAUAAUUUUUUGUCUUUUUAUCCCUCUUUAGCAUCAUGAAAGUGAUAGUGUUUGUUGGCUAUGUGCUUGGUGGCUUGGGCUAGGACUACUGUGACUGUUGUUUCCCAAAUUAUUGGAUAAACUGGUGAAAAUUCUUUUCAUGAUGUAGUUUCAUUAGGUCAGAUUGUGACUUUGUCAGCUUGCAACCUACAUGAUGAUGGGAUCCCAUUUUUUUUAUAAUUUUAAUUUUACUAGGGAUGAAGUGAUGCUUCAAAAAAAUAUUCUAUGACCAGUCAGUAUAACAUACUCUAUACUUUCUUU